rnacentral:rRNA from 1 species
UACGUAGGUGGCGAGCGUUGUCCGGAUUUACUGGGCGUAAAGAGCGCGCAGGCGGUCGGAUCAGUCGAAUGUGAAAGCCCCCGGCUUAACUGGGGAGGGUCAUUCGAUACUGUUCGACUCGAAGGCAGGAGAGGGAAGUGGAAUUCCCGGUGUAGUGGUGAAAUGCGUAGAGAUGCGGAGGAACACCGAUGGCGAAGGCAGCCCCCUGGGCCAACACUGACGCUCAGGCACGAAAGCGUGGGGAGCAAACAGG